AACGAACGCUGGCGGCAGGCUUAACACAUGCAAGUCGAACGGGUGCAGCAAUGCACCAGUGGCAGACGGGUGAGUAACACGUGGGAACCUUCCUAGGGGUACGGAACAACUCAGGGAAACUUGAGCUAAUACCGUAUACGCCCCGGAGCAAUCCGGGGGAAAGAUUCAUCGCCCCUAGACGGGCCCGCGUCGGAUUAGGUAGUUGGUGGGGUAACGGCCUACCAAGCCUACGAUCCGUAGCUGANCUGAGAGGAUGAUCAGCCACACUGGGACUGAGACACGGCCCAGACUCCUACGGGAGGCAGCAGUGGGGAAUCUUGGACAAUGGGCGCAAGCCUGAUCCAGCCAUG
rnacentral:rRNA from 1 species